GCCGGGGUGGCGGAAUGGCAGACGCUGCCGACUUAAAAUCGGAAGCCCGAAAGGGCGUGCGGGUUCGAAUCCCGCCCCCGGCACCA
rnacentral:tRNA from 1 species